rnacentral:rRNA from 1 species
CCCUUAGAUGUUCUGGGCCGCACGCGCGCUACACUGAUGCAUUCAACGAGUUCCUACCUUGGCCGAGAGGCCUGGGCAAUCUUUUGAACUUGCAUCGUGAUAGGGAUAGAUUAUUGCAAUUAUUAAUCUUGAACGAGGAAUUCCUAGUAAACGCAGAUCAUCAAUCUGCAUUGAUUACGUCCCUGCCCUUUGUACACACCGCCCGUCGCACCUACCGAUUGAAUGGUCCGGUGAAGCCUCGGGAUUGUGGUUAGUUUCCUUCAUUGGAAGUUAGCCGCGAGAACUUGUCUAAACCUUAUCAUUGAGAGGAAGGUGAAGUCGUAACA